AACACAAGGUUUCUCCUCAUUUUCUUGUGUAAAUCUUUCGCCUUUUAUUAAAGAUUAUUGUAAGGAGGAACAACAUAAUGUGUCUAUAGACAAUUUCUGGGGGGUUGGGUGGCUGAACA